rnacentral:rRNA from 1 species
GACGAACGCUGGCGGCGUGCUUAACACAUGCAAGUCGAACGCUGAAGCCCAGCUUUUGUUGGGUGGAUGAGUGGCGAACGGGUGAGUAACACGUGAGUAACCUGCCCCCUUCUUUGGGAUAACGCCCGGAAACGGGUGCUAAUACUGGAUAUUCACUGGUCUUCGCAUGGGGGUUGGUGGAAAGGGUUUUUCUGGUGGGGGAUGGGCUCGCGGCCUAUCAGCUUGUUGGUGGGGUGAUGGCCUACCAAGGCUUUGACGGGUAGCCGGCCUGAGAGGGUGACCGGUCACAUUGGGACUGAGAUACGGCCCAGACUCCUACGGGAGGCAGCAGUGGGGAAUAAUGCACAAUGGGCGCAAGCCUGAUGCAGCGACGCCGCGUGAGGGAUGGAGGCCUUCGGGUUGUGAACCUCUUUCGCUCAUGGUCAAGCCGCAACAAUGGUUGUGGUGAGGGUAGUGGGUAAAGAAGCGCCGGCUAACUACGUG